UCACAGCCAGCUUUGAUGAGC
rnacentral:ncRNA from 13 species